GACGAACGCUGGCGGCGUGCUUAACACAUGCAAGUCGAACGGAAAGGCCUGCUUUCCCUUGUGGAUUGCGGGUACUCGAGUGGCGAACGGGUGAGUAACACGUGAGUGAUCUGCCCCCAACUUGGGUAUAAGCCUGGGAAACUGGGUCUAAUUCCCGAUAGGACUGCAGGGUGGUGCCUGUGGUGGAAAACGAUUUUCUAGUGGUUGGGGAUGAGCUCGCGGCCUAUCAGCUUGUUGGUGGGGUAAUGGCCUACCAAGGCGGCGACGGGUAGCCGGCCUGAGAGGGUGGACGGCCACAUUGGGACUGAGAUACGGCCCAGACUCCUACGGGAGGCAGCAGUGGGGAAUAUUGCACUAUGGGCUGAAGCCUGAUGCAGCGACGCCGCGUGGGGGAUGACGGCCUUCGGGUUGUAAACUCCUUUCGACCGCGAGGAAGCCACCUGGUUGGAAGGGUGGUGACGGUAGUGGUAGAAGAAGCACCGGCUAACUACGU
rnacentral:rRNA from 1 species